AGGUAGAAAGAAUAUUCAGAUCGUUGAAUCUCGUCAAAACGAAGAUAAGGAUUCGAAUGUGUACAGACAUGGUAAACGUCAUAUGAGGGAUUCGUGCAUGUCUUAGCAGACAGAAUCGGUGCUGCCAUAAUUACAUAUUUCCUGAGUGAGUUCUUAGAACAAUUGGGGCUACUGAAGCAUAUACAUUGAGACCAUCAACUUCUACUGCAGCUUCCCUUUCCCAUGAGGAUGAUGGCGUUAAUGGUUUAAGACUACAUUCUCAUCCAGUUUUAGAUAAGUUUAGAAAAAAAAAUGUUAUUUAGAAUCUAGUUAUUUUAAGGCAUUUUUUAGUCUAUUUUACUAUGAAUCUAGUUGGAAAUAUACUGUUGGCAACACUAAUUUCCAGUUUCCACAAUCGAUUAGUCCAGAUCAGUUAUUCAGUUUGUUCGCGUUGCCGAGAUGUCUCGUCGAAUGGUUAGCGCCCGUCGCCAUAGUUCCAUGGGGUUUUAUCCAGAGAAGAGAUCAUUGAGGUUUCGUAGUGAAGCGAAGCGAAAGCGUUUCACGUUACUCCACUUUUUAGCUAUAAAGCUGGUACGAGUCACGUGGUGAGAGACGCCGAAAGACCUGGUUCAAGUGGGUGAAGAAGAAUCAUCCCUGCUUAUAAUGAUGAGAUACUUGUUUGCCAAUCUGGUUUCCCUAUACCAGCAUUCUGUCUUAUCUGCUACACUUCCAAGAUGUUUUUGAACUGGUAGAAGUCGAGGAAGAAGCUUCCAAGAAGUGGCAAGAUGAUCUGGGUUAUAAGUCAAUUGAUUGUGACCUCAAAAAAAUUGAGACAUGACAAGGUUAUUGGAGCCCAAUCAGAUACACAAAAUGCUGCACUGGCAACAUUUUUGCAAUUACGCCCAUUUAUAAAGGUGUCAUGGUUCAAUAUUUAUGCAGGAGACUACCAAAGGCUUGUUUAAUCUAUGCCUCACCAAGUUGCUGCACUCUGAUGGGCAAAAGGUCCUACACGAUAUUAUGAGGUGUCACAUUGCAUUAGCACACAAAGAAGCUGCCAUGUAAAACACACAAGAGUUUAUGUAAGGGUGCUUGCACUGGUGCCUGCCAUCCUGAUAGUCAUUAAUUGUAGCCAAACUUGAAGGUUACCACCAUAGAGCAGAUCAAUGAGAAAAUGUUGCAUUGGUCAGGGAAUUAAUGUGAACGAUGGAAAGGUGAUGAAAAACAGUGCAUAUAUUGAAUGAUUUAAUAGAGACCAUUACACUGUGAGGUGCCUCACAUUAUGGUGAUGUCAAUGAUGACUUUAUCAUAAAAUAUUUGUGUACGAGAUCAGAUAUGAGGGUUAUAACUGUACAAAAGUCACUACUUGUGCACGCAAAGAGGAAGGCUUUGGAAAGAUCAACUUAUAAUUCAUUGAGACUUCAUCCAUGUUCGGUUGUGGACAGUUCCAAACUGCCGAUGACAACUUCAUUUAUGGACUUGCUUAAAAAAGACCACAUCAAGGAAGAUGCAGCUGUUGCAUAAUAUGUUGAUUGAAAUAAAAUGAUUGACAUGAUUUGUUAUUGAUCUGUUACAUUUGUCAAAUAUAUCAAUGGUGUAUCACUUAA